rnacentral:tRNA from 1 species
GGGAGUUAGCUCAGUUGGUUAGAGCGCCGGCCUGUCACGUCGGAGGUCGCGAGUUCAAGUCUCGUACUUCC